UUGGCCCACUUGUCCUUGACGCGAAGCCUGAUCGGGUCAUGCACAAUGUAAUCAGACUGUGCGUAGAGCACCUCAUCCGGAAAAGCCUCUUCCCACUUAUGGCAAAUGUAUGCGAACAGGUAAGGCCCAUAGAUAGGAACCUUACGAUUGAUGAUGCAGUUCCAGAGCUCUGUGAACAUCACAUCUGAAAUAUCCAGCUGAGCAGACUCCUGAGACAUAGCCUCCUCACACAGUAACAGCAUCUCAGCCAAGCCAUGGACAUCAUCGAAGUUACCACUCCGAGGGAAGAGGGUGUUGCGAAAUAUCCGAUGCAUGAUGUCCAGGUGCUUGGGAAGCACCCCCUUCCUCA
rnacentral:lncRNA from 1 species